CCUACGUGAGGCAGCAGUGGGGAAUAUUGCACAAUGGGCGAAACCCUGAUGCAGCGACGCCGCGUGAGUGAGGAAGUAUUUCGGUAUGUAAAGCUCUAUCAGCAGGGAAGAAAAUGACGGUACCUGACUAAGCACCACCGGCUAACUACGUGCCAGCAGCCGCGGUCAUACGUAGGGGGCAAGCGUUAAUAGGAUUUAUUGGGUGUAAAGGGAGCGUAGACGGCUAAUCAAGGAAGAAGGGAAAACCCAGGGGUCAACUUUGGGACUGCGUUUGAAACUGGGUAGCUAGAGUGCAGGAGAGGUAAGCGGAAUGCCUGGUGUAGCGGUGAAAUGCGUAGAGAUUAGGAGGAACACCAGUGGCGAAGGCAGCUUACUGGACUGUAACUGACGUUGAGGCACGAAAGCGUGGGGAGCAAACAGGAUUAGAUACCCGUGUAGUC
rnacentral:rRNA from 1 species